GUUGUAGUUGAGGGGGCCUCGGGAAGAAUCUGGGUGACGCCUUCUGGUCCGGGGGCGGGCGGUCAUAGCGUUACUUGGCUGAAAGGAGGAGGAACUGGCAGCGGGGAGGAGGCUCUAGCGAGGCCUGAAAGGCUGCGUAACCAGGCAGGAGUAGGGGUUGGGGUUCGGGGUUGGGGGACAGCCAGGGAUCGCGUCUGAUAUGCUGUUGGGGUCGUGACCGUCUGGGGGCCGAGGCAGGCACUGGCCAGACCCAGCCAGGGAUCCUCGUAUUCGUCGAGCCUAAUUUCCAGCAGCCGGGUAGGCCUCACCAGAGGCUCCUUUCCGUGAGGCCGCCCCCAAUUCCUGCCCCUAUUCUCUGCCUGGGAGAUGGCUUCCCCGAGCCCCCCGCCGGAGUCGAAGGAGGAGUGGGAUUAUCUGGACCCAGCUCAGAGAAGCCUGUAUAAAGAUGUCAUGAUGGAGAAUUAUGGAAACCUGGUCUCACUGGGUAAGAAUCUG
rnacentral:lncRNA from 1 species